GUGAAUCAUCGAAUCUUUGAACGCACAUUGCGCCCCUUGGUAUUCCGAGGGGCAUGCCCGUCCGAGCGUCAUUUCGACCAUCAGGCCCAGCUUGGUAUUGGAUCGGGUCGCCCCGCGACCUCCUCCGCAACUCAGAGCGGCGGCGCCGUCCGACCCGAAGCGUAGCAGAAAAACCUCGCUCCGCGGAUCGGUCGGCCGCUCGCCCGACGACACUCACGAAAUUUUGACCUCGGAUCGGGUAGGGUUACCCGCUGAACUUAAGCAUAUCAAUAAGCGGAGGA
rnacentral:misc_RNA from 1 species